rnacentral:rRNA from 1 species
UACAGAGGUCCCAAGCGUUGUUCGGAAUUACUGGGCGUAAAGGGCCAGUAGGCGGCCAACUAAGUCACACGUGAAAUCCCCAGGCUUAACCUGGGAACUGCGUGUGAUACUGGAUGGCUUGAAUUCGGGAGAGGGAUGCAGAAUUCCAGGUGUAGCGGUGAAAUGCGUAGAUAUCUGGAGGAAUACCGGUGGCGAAGGCGGCAUCCUGGACCGACAUUGACGCUGAACGGCGAAAGCUAGGGGAGCAAACGGG